UACGUAGGGUGCAAGCGUUGUCCGGAAUUAUUGGGCGUAAAGAGCUCGUAGGCGGUUUGUCGCGUCUGCUGUGAAAACCCGAGGCUCAACCUCGGGCCUGCAGCCGAUACGGGCAGGCUAGAGUUCGGUAGGGGAGACUGGAAUUCCUGGUGUAGCGGUGAAAUGCGCAGAUAUCAGGAGGAACACCGGUGGCGAAGGCGGGUCUCUGGGCCGAUAUCGACGCUGAGGAGCGAAAGCGUGGGGAGCGAACAGG
rnacentral:rRNA from 1 species